rnacentral:rRNA from 1 species
UACGGAGGGUGCAAGCGUUAAUCGGAAUUACUGGGCGUAAAGCGCGCGCAGGCGGUCCUGUAAGUCGAGUGUGAAAUCCCGGGGCUCAACCUCGGACGUGCACUCGAUACUGCGGGACUGGAGUACUGGAGAGGAGAGCGGAAUUCCCGGUGUAGAGGUGAAAUUCGUAGAUAUCGGGAGGAACACCAGUGGCGAAGGCGGCUCUCUGGACAGAUACUGACGCUGAGGCGCGAAAGCGUGGGAAGCAAACAGG